CGGCUAACAUACAACUAUAUAAAAGGAUAGUAAAACAAAAUUCUACAAAGGGUCUUGCAGGAAAGAAAAACUGAGGCAAGAUACCUUUGCGAAAUACUUGGAAGGAUUCUCUGCACAUCGAAGGAUUGUCAAAAGGGCAAUCUGAAAAUUUCCAGAU